rnacentral:rRNA from 1 species
GUGUCAGCAGCCGCGGUAAUACAGAGGGGGCAAGCGUUGUUCGGAAUUACUGGGCGUAAAGGGCGCGUAGGCGGCCCUCUAAGUCAGACGUGAAAUCCCUCGGCUCAACCGGGGAACUGCGUCUGAGACUGGAAGGCUUGAAUUCGGGAGAGGGAUGUGGAAUUCCAGGUGUAGCGGUGAAAUGCGUAGAUAUCUGGAGGAACACCGGUGGCGAAGGCGGCAUCCUGGACCGAGAUUGACGCUGAUGCGCGAAAGCCAGGGGAGCAAACGGGAUUAGAAACCCCAGUAGUCC